AGCAUCUGCUUCUUCUGGGUGUGAGAGAAAUUGGAGUCUUUUUGACCAGAUUCAUACAAAAAGAAGAAAUAGAUUGGAGCAUGAUAGACUGAAUGACAUUGUUUAUGUUACCUAUAAUUUGCGUCUUAAAUCCAGGAAGGAAAAAGAAAAAAGAAAGCAAAAGACACAGCAUGAUCCAAUUGAUUAUGAAAGUAUCAGUCAAGUUGACUUAUGGGUGACUGAAGAGGUUGUAGAGAAAGAGCCUGAUCUUCCUAGUAAUGUGGAUGACUUAUUGCGUGAAAUUGAUGCUGAUUUAUAUCAAAAUGGCGGUGGUAGUAGUGGUCUUUAUGCUGCAUCUCUUUCUUCUGCUGAUCAGGGUGGGAAUGAAGGUGAAGAUCAUCCCACCGAAGCAGAUUUGCAACAAGUUCUUGCGGAUUUUGAUUGAUAAACCAUGAUGUUGGGAUUUAAUAUUUAGAUAUGCUUUUAUUACUAUUUAACUUUUGAGUUUGGAUUUUGAUAAGAUCAUAUGUAUUUGGUUGAUGA